UCCCACGGAAGUUGCCCGGGUGCUGUCGUCUGCCAUCCACUGCACCCCGGCCACAUAGGGAAUCCAGCCGACAUCCGGACAUUGAUGCCCGGCGCGGCACGAAAUGGAACUGCCCCCGCAACUGUAGGCAUGGAGCCUGUCCUCUCAGGACCACUGGACCCCGCUUCGGGUCCGGGAAGGCGAGGAUCGGCGAUGAAGUGCCAGUCAGGAGACCUGCCAAGGCAAGCUGUUGUUC
rnacentral:ncRNA from 2 species